rnacentral:tRNA from 1 species
GCCUUGGUAGUGUAACGGCUAGCAUAGAAGGCUGUGGACCUUUUGGACCGGGUUCGACCCCCGGCCAAGGCC